AGUGGCAAUAGAAUAUAUAAAUUAGCAGUGUAUGCUUUCUGUUUUCACUAGAGUGGCAUAGUGCAGAGUUGGACUUUGAAUGGCUCAAGACCACAUGAGGCUCCUACCAAAAUUUCCACAUUGGGAAGACUGUGCUACUAAUGUGGUACCUCCUUUUUAUCUUUUAUUUGCAAGUGUCAUCUUGAGUUCAUGCUUUUUACAUCAUAUAUCCAAUAAUUGUAGGUGCAUGUCUCUACUGAACUGGAAGAUCAUAUUACUUGGAAGUGUGUGUAUAUGUGUGCAAAUUUGUAAAAGAAGAAAAGAGACAAUAAGGUUCUUUGCAUUGCAUUCUAAAUAAUGGGCUGAUUAUAUUAGUAAUUAACAUCUUCAAUAACUGCUUGGAGAUUUGUGAAGGCUUGCUUGUUCCAAAUUCUAAAAAUCUUUUUGUAUUGCAAAUUCUUUAAAGAAUGUUUAUAGGUCUAUUAUUCACAAUGCAUCUGACACAUAUGUGUAUUGGAAUCCUUCAGUUGUUUUAUUCAUAAUUGCAAAGAUGACUAGACUGAUUAAUAUUUUAACUGCAUUGAUACAAAAAAAUAAAAACAUGGACAUCU